rnacentral:rRNA from 1 species
AAGGUUAGCUAAUCCUGGUCGGACAUCAGGAGGUUAGUGCAAUGGCAUAAGCUAGCUUGACUGCGAGCGUGACGGCGCGAGCAGGUGCGAAAGCAGGUCAUAGUGAUCCGGUGGUUCUGAAUGGAAGGGCCAUCGCUCAACGGAUAAAAGGUACUCCGGGGAUAACAGGCUGAUACCGCCCAAGAGUUCAUAUCGACGGCGGUGUUUGGCACCUCGAUGUCGGCUCAUCACAUCCUGGGGCUGAAGUAGGUCCCAAGGGUAUGGCUGUUCGCCAUUUAAAGUGGUACGCGAGCUGGGUUUAGAACGUCGUGAGACAG